rnacentral:lncRNA from 1 species
UAGAGAGUAAAACGGCUACAUUUCGCAAUUGGAUUGAAUUAUUGACUUACAAAGUUGAUCGAUAACCUGUUGUGAUCGAUUUACGAAACUUGCAAUGAAUUAAGAAAUGUGAAACACCAACAAAAAUGAUAUUCAAAAAUUGAAUUAAUCAGUAUAUAGAAGAAGACGAAGAAGAAGAAAAAGAAAUUGUAUUUGGUGUGUAAUAAAAAAAAUUAAAAAUACAUAAUGAAAGAAGAAGAAUCGGCGGAAGUGGAAGUAGAAGCGGAAUGAAGGGUCCGGAAGAAGUGAAAAUCGAGACGACGACGACGCGGCAUCUGAAAAUACAACUGCUCUCUCAUUCUUGCCAUUAUCAAACUGUACUCUUCCAUUAAUUCUACCAUCAUUCCCAAUUUCAUCAUCUUUCUUUUUCUUUCACUUAGCUUUCUCUCUCUAGAAACUGCACUCUACAAAUUAUGUAUCUAUGUUGUAUGUAUAUGGUAUGCAGGGAAAAUAAAUUGAAGAUAGUUUUGUGCAGGGGUUUGUGUGUGUAUAUAUAUAUAUAGGAAGGUGAGGUGGAUGAUUUUUAUUUAUUAAUUAAUUAAUUUCGGGAAUUUUCUUUUUUUUAUUUGAAGCCGAAAUUUGUCCAGCAUGCUCGAAUACAAAAAUGAAAUUUGACUUCAAUUUGGUAUUAAUUUAUAUAUGGAAAUGUGACGUGACACCUACUAUUACUACUACUACUACCAUGAAUAAUUCAAUUGUUUUCUUGAUAAGACACGUUUUUCCAGCUUCAUUAAGCGUGUAACUUGUUGCUCUGAAAUUGUUAAUUUAGACGCCAUUUUAAAUAUUUACAAAACUAAGUUAGGUUGAAUAGAUAAUUGUCAUUUCAAAAAAAAAAAAAAAAAAAUUGGAAAAACGUGUUUUGUUUGCCGACAACUUCCUAAUUCAAAGACUUCUGCUGUGGAUUAAUUACAGAAUUUUGAAUUGUGACUAAAUUAUAAACUUUUUGA